AGGUGCCCCAGGAAAACUUGGGGGAGAAUGGGCAUCCCACCCCAGCACUUUCUAGGAAGGAGGGCAGCAUUUUGAAGGGCUGGAAGUAGAGGAAGGAGGUUGCGGGUAGAAGACUCCAUACUUUCUGUGAUGCCUAUUCCUUAGGUAGGAACUUAGGAACCUCAGGAGAGCCUUUAUAUAACCAAAGAUAUUUUUGGACCAUGAAUUCGGAAAUUCUCGGAGCCACCCAUCAGUGCCUGAGCUUCAGUGAGUCCAUAUCCCAUGUCACCCACGGCAAAGGAGAAUCUAAGACUUCUGAAGAGUUUCUUGCUUCUUUCCUGUGGGGCAGUGACUCCACUUCCCAGCAGUAAUGGAAUAUCCUGAAUUAGCUACAUUAAUGUUAGAACCAUUUGGACCUCACCCAGGACUUCAACUACAUUAUGAGUAACUCCUGGACGAUUGGCACAGAAGGCACAAGGCAAAUACCUAUCUCUGUACACCCUGUGCUACUGUGUCAUGUGCUGCUCCAGGCAACUCCAAUGGAUUGGCCACCCUGGCCAAUGUGUUCUAGUAUGUUAGGUUUAUGUUCCCCUGCUUUCUACAAUCCUGUUCAAAGAGUUGCUGACUUAACCACAGAGAGGAUUCCAGAACAUGAGACACAGAAUAAACUUGAGCAAUCAUAGUCCAUCCACUUCAUUUUCUCAUCAAAAACCAAAGGUCCAGUGAAGCUCUGGAACUCAACGCUGUAAAGGAGCGAAGGAGC
rnacentral:antisense_RNA from 1 species